UACGUAGGGGGGCAAGCGUUGUCCGGAAUCAUUGGGCGUAAAGAGCGCGUAGGCGGCCCUGUAAGUCCGCUGUGAAAGUCAAGGGCUCAACCCUUGAAUGCCGGUGGAUACUGCAGGGCUAGAGUCCGGAAGAGGCGAGUGGAAUUCCUGGUGUAGCGGUGAAAUGCGCAGAUAUCAGGAGGAACACCGAUGGCGAAGGCAGCUCGCUGGGACGGUACUGACGCUGAGGUGCGAAAGCGUGGGGAGCAAACAGG
rnacentral:rRNA from 1 species